GAAAACAGCGACAAGGAAGGACUCAUCGACAGCGAUGAUGAGCGCCGGAAGAAGAGAAGAUUUUGGCUGUGUUGUUAAACUUUGUAUUGGUUUAUGGAAAAUGUUCGGCGCGCAUUUAGUGUAGGGUAUGGUGCACGGAAUUUUCGCCAUGUCGCGGAUAGCCGGUGCGAUGUUUCCAUUCCUAUGAAAGCUGUAACUCUUUCAUGUUAUACAGGUGUGACACGUACACUUCUGAUCGCGAUCGGGAGCGAUCCGGAUCGAAAUUCUCGACUGCGAUUGGCUCUCUCGCGCAUUUUGUGCAAAGGAGCCAAUCACGACCGAGAAAUUCGAUCCGGAUCGGGCUUGAUCGCGAUAAAAAAAAGUGCACCGUGUGACAUCCGUACUAGCCAGUGGCAUAGCCAAGGGGUGGCACACCGGGCACGCAACUCCUACGAAAUUUAUGCGGCUUUUCCAACCCCCUCUCCCCCUGAAAAACUUUCUUUCCACGCCACUGUUACCAGCCGCAUGUCUUUUGUGAGUGCUCUUUUAUAUUUAUGAAACAAAAAACGCCCGCAAAAUAAAAUCUUCUUUAUUAACUUAUAA
rnacentral:lncRNA from 1 species